UAGGGAAUUUUCGGCAAUGGACGGAAGUCUGACCGAGCAACGCCGCGUGAGUGAAGAAGGUUUUCGGAUCGUAAAGCUCUGUUGUUAGAGAAGAAUGUUGGUAGGAGUGGAAAAUCUACCAAGUGACGGUAACUAACCAGAAAGGGACGGCUAACUACGUGCCAGCAGCCGCGGUAAUACGUAGGUCCGGAGCGUUGUCCGGAUUUAUUGGGCGUAAAGCGAGCGCAGGCGGUUCUUUAAGUCUGAAGUUAAAGGCAGUGGCUUAACAAUUUUACGCUUUGGAACCUGGGGGACUUGAGUGCAGAAGGGGGGAGUGGAUUUCCAUGCGUAGCGGUGAAAUGCGUAGAUAUGUGGAGGAACACCGGUGGCGAAAGCGGCUCUCUGGUCUGUACCUGACGCUGAGGCUCGAAAGCGUGGGGAGCAAACAGG
rnacentral:rRNA from 1 species